rnacentral:lncRNA from 1 species
UUCAACCACUGGGUCGGGUUUGCUGGUCGAAAGAGCCUUGGACGCCAGGAAAUCAGUGUGCUCUUGGUAUGGUGAUCUAGAGAAUCUUGUCUCCUUCCAGAACUCUGGGGUAAGGAAUCCGUAAGUCUUCUGAAGGCAAUCGAAUGUAGCCUGCAAUUUAAUCAACAUCAUGAAAACAAUUAUUCAUCCGUGAAAAAAACUAAGGUACAAGUGAAUACUAUACAUGGAUAAAAAACUGAGGGUAUAUUGUAUUCAAGUUACAAAACUCGUGAAUUAGCAAGAAAACAAACACAUCAUAAGCAAGUGAAAACAGUCAAGUAUCAAGAGAUGCCAAACUGAAUCUAUUCUUCAUUUGCUACAUUAAAGGUUUCCUACAAAGCGAUCAUUCAUUACAGCUAAAGAGAAUCACUAGACGAAAGAGAAACACUUUUUCUCUUCCAUCAAUACACCAAUAACAUUUCCAGAGAUAUUUCAUCAAAUACAGUGUGAAGUCAGAAUUUUUCCUAACCAAAUGGACUCCUGGAACUACUUAUAUAGCUACUACUGUACUAAAAUGACAGAAAAUGCUCAAAUUUCGAAUAAUCAAAUUGUGAUUUCAAAGAAACUACCAGAAACCAAUCAAAAGGAAACGAAUCUCGUGUAUAGGUAACUACAUGAAAG